rnacentral:rRNA from 1 species
AUUGAACGCUGGCGGCAUGCUUCACACAUGCCAGUCGAACGGUAACAGGUUAAGCUGACGAGUGGCGAACGGGUGAGUAAUGCAUCGGAACGUGCCCGAUCGUGGGGGAUAACGCAGCGAAAGCUGCGCUAAUACCGCAUACGAUCUGAGGAUGAAAGCGGGGGACCGUAAGGCCUCGCGCGAUCGGAGCGGCCGAUGUCAGAUUAGGUAGUUGGUGGGGUAAAGGCCCACCAAGCCGACGAUCUGUAGCUGGUCUGAGAGGACGACCAGCCACACUGGGACGGGGACACGGCCCUGCGUACAACGGGAGGCAGCAGUGGGGAAUUUUGGACAAUGGGCGAAAGCCUGAUCCAGCAAUGCCGCGUGCAGGAAGAAGGCCUUCGGGUUGUAAACUGCUUUUGUACGGAGCGAAAAGGCCGUUUCUAAUACAAGGGGCUCAUGACGGUACCGUAAGAAUAAGCACCAGCUAACUACGUGCCAGCCGCCGCAGUAAUAC